rnacentral:rRNA from 1 species
AUGUUCCUACGAGGCCACAAGAUUCGUCUGAUCUCUUGCUACGACCCGGGCUGGCUUAUCGGGUGCGCUCAAUUUCCGGGGGAGACCCGUUCUCGCUCACGAGGCCCGACCCGUGUUUGUGUUUUUUUUUCAUUUCGCCUCUGUAGCUACCAGGCUGGCCGGCGUUCUCCCUCCGGCUGCUUCACUCCCGUCCGGCUGCCCACCCCCUCCUACUCCCCCGCUGUUCGCGCCGUUAGUCUGCAGCAUCUCUCGACCGCCGCACCCACCCCCGGCCUCUAUUUCUGCCUCGGCGACUUCGCUGGUCUUUGUGAUUCGCAUAAAUCAAGUUGCACUGAUAUCGCCAGUGGUUUUAGUGUAAUUGACGUUUUUCCUCUGUUUUUCAUGUCCACGUUUCGUGUAAGUAGGAGAGGGAACUGUUCACAGGGAGGUGGAGAAGAUUGUCAGGUGAGGAUCUCUUACCUGUGCAUCCAUGAUUUUCUCCAGGUUUGCCCUCUGGAUCUUGGAGGAAUUCCCCCGCAUGUGGAUUGGAGGAUCGACCGAUCAUGCAUACUUGUCUUAUUUCCUGGUAGCAUGUGGAUUGGAGGAUCGUUGGAGUGGUCACUCCUCGUACUGGUUCAGCGUUGCCGUAGUUUAUACGCGCACGUAUCUUGUGAAGACUACUACCUCGUGCCCUCGUGGCGCAUCCUUAUCGGGAUCUCUGCCAAGCCGAUUGAGUCCCAGGCCAAUGAGAACUCGACAAUUGGCAGCCAGGUGGCUGGACCGGUCAGCGCACACACUUUUGCACAAAACCCCCUGCCGUUUCCUUUAAUCAACCCGCACUCACCUCCACCUGAAUUUGCCGUGGCAUUGAUCAAUCAAAACUGUCUUUGCCGUGGUGGGCGGAGCAAACCAUUCAACCUGACCCUAUCCAAACACUACCUUGUUCGUGCAACAGUCUCUGAGCUUCAGAACGCCAUUAGAGUGUUCAGUCUGUUGUCUGUUGCAUCAACGUACCAUUCCCAUGGCUUUGAUGAGAGGAAAAUAGAAACCCAUGUCGAGUAUUGCAGACAUUUGUUUGAUGCUGCUAAGGUUCAUCGUGAUGCCGCUGAAGAAGCUGAGAAGCAAACCAAGCAAAAAUUGGAAGUUACCCGUCAAAUUGCUUUACUGAAGAAGCUGCAUUUAGAAAGAAGGAAGCAAGAGGACGAAUUAAAGCAAGUAAUGCAACAGGAGCAUCACUUUGAGCGUGUCAAGGCAAGACGGCAUGGUGUUUUCUGUAAAAGUGCAGGCGAGGACCGGUCCGGCCACGUGGCUGCCAAUUGUCGCGCUGUGAUAGGCCUGGGACUAAAUCGUCACAUCCAGCGCAAGUUAAGGGAUUUAGGAUCAUAUCCGAGCAUGUCCUGGGAUGCGGUGGUCGUGACCCAGCAUGCGGACGCAUUCCGGCCGUAUCCUGUCCGCCACUUGAUGAACACCCAUCCGGGAUGUUCCGGCGUUGUAGACACGCGGCGCACGACUAUCCUUGGUCAGUGGUCACACUUAAUGAGUGGCAACGAUGCGCCGACGAGCUUUUGGGCAAGCACCGAGCCCGGCCGACCGCCAUUCGUGUAUCUGCCGACGGACCGACGGUGCAGAUCCGAGCGGCUAGAGGAGGAGCCACUGCCUGCAUGUGACCUUGCGGCCCUGCCAGGGCCUUUCGGCGAGGUGCCCGGCCAGUCCAUGGCGCGGCCCGGCCUCCCACAGCCGGCCGAGCUCAAGACCGACCGGAUCCGCCCCAAAUUCGGCCGGCGGGUGCGCACACCAGGUGGCCGUGGUUGGGUAGCUCGGCGGCGCCGAGAGGAAGGGGCUGGACGAGUUCGCGUCCGAACUGCACGGCUACAAUGGCAGCGGCGACGACAGCGGCAGCGAGGGGAAGAGUGGGGAAGAGUGGAGGGGGUGCGGCCAGACGGAGGGAGGGGGCAGAUAGAAAAAGACCCAUCCUGUGCCACCGACGGGCGGGCCAGGGGAGGACACGCGCAGACGGCCCGCGUGUCCACGUGGUGUCCGUUUUACCCCAAAAGCGGCGCAAACUUGGGCCGCAGAUGGGUCGAAAGCGGGCACAAAACGGAUAAAAGUCUGUUUGCUCCCGCGCGCUGGGCCGCCUCGUUUGUCCGUUUUACCCUAAAUGAACGGGGCCGGAUAGAAUAG